GCCGGGGCGGGACGCCCUCCCGGUCGGUGGCCCCUAACUCUGUGGCCGGGGAGGCGGGGGCGGCCGGCUGACUGAGUUUCUCGGCGUGAGAGUAGCCACGUGUUCGUUUGCAGUCACCUUAGGCCGCUGAUUUGUUUUAAUUUUAACUUUUAAUCCACUCAAAACCGAGGAGAGAGGGGUACCCAAAAUACUUCCUGUGAGCCAGGUCCCCUGAAGCGUCUACAAGAAAGUUUCACCGAGGCGCGGGUCCUUUCCGACGCCCAGUUCGGGCGUUUUUGGGAGCUGUUCGCCUUAGUGGCCCGGGGAAUGACGAGGUCCACACCCGUCCGGGCAGAAGCCCCAGGAGAUCCAUGAUGUAAUCUUUAGAAAAGAAGAGAAAAACAUUUUGAGCAAAACUAAAUAGAAACCAAUAGAAAGAAAACCUGUGAAGAAGCCUGCAAUGAUAGUUUGGGGAUCGAACUCAUGACCUUGUGCUUGCGAGGCAGGCGGCGGAACUACUGAGCUAAAUCCACG